rnacentral:rRNA from 1 species
GACGAACGCUGGCGGCGUGCUUAACACGUGCAAGUCGAACGCUGAACCCGCUUCGGUGGGGGAUGAGUGGCGAACGGGUGAGUAACACGUGGGCAACCUGCCCCCGGCUCUGGGAUAACUCCAAGAAAUUGGGGCUAAUACCGGAUGUGACCGCUGGCCGCAUGGUCUGGUGGUGGAAAGGGUUUCCGGCUGGGGAUGGGCCCGCGGCCUAUCAGCUUGUUGGUGGGGUAGUGGCCUACCAAGGCGACGACGGGUAGCCGGCCUGAGAGGGUGACCGGCCACACUGGGACUGAGACACGGCCCAGACUCCUACGGGAGGCAGCAGUGGGGAAUAUUGCGCAAUGGGCGGAAGCCUGACGCAGCGACGCCGCGUGGGGGGUGACGGCCUUCGGGUUGUAAACCUCUUUCAGCAGGGACGAAGCGCAAGUGACGGUACCUGCAGAAGAAGCACCGGCCAACUACGUG